AGCGAACGCUGGCGGCGUGCUUAACACAUGCAAGUCGAACGUGAAAUGUAGCAAUACAGAGUAAAGUGGCGUACGGGUGAGUAACACGUGGGUAAUCUACCAAAGAGCCUGGAAUAACCGACCGAAAGGUUGGCUAAUACUGGAUAGUUCAAAUGAAAUAUAAUGUUUCGGUUGGGAAAGGGAGCGAGCAAUCGCCUUCACUUUUUGAUGAGCCCGCGUCUGAUUAGCUAGUUGGUAGGGUAAUGGCCUACCAAGGCGACGAUCAGUAGCUGGUCUAAGAGGAUGAUCAGCCACACGGGAACUGAGACACGGUCCAGACUCCUACGGGAGGCAGCAGUGGGGAAUCUUGCGCAAUGGACGAAAGUCUGACGCAGCCACGCCGCGUGAGUGAAGAAGGCCUUCGGGUUGUAAAGCUCUGUCGGAAGGGACAAAAACGUUUAAGGUUAAUAGCCUUAGAUCUUGAUGGUACCUUCAAAGGAAGCACCGGCUAACUUCGUGCCAGCCGCCGCAGUAA
rnacentral:rRNA from 1 species